rnacentral:rRNA from 1 species
CCUACGGGAGGCAGCAGUGGGGAAUUUUGGACAAUGGGCGCAAGCCUGAUCCAGCAAUGCCGCGUGAGUGAAGAAGGCCUUCGGGUUGUAAAGCUCUUUUGUCAGGGAAGAAACGGUGAGCUCUAAUAUAGCUUGCUAAUGACGGUACCUGAAGAAUAAGCACCGGCUAACUACGUGCCAGCAGCCGCGGUAAUACGUAGGGUGCAAGCGUUAAUCGGAAUUACUGGGCGUAAAGCGUGCGCAGGCGGUUUUGUAAGUUUGUCGUGAAAUCCCCGGGCUCAACCUGGGAAUGGCGAUGAAGACUGCAAGGCUAGAGUUUGGCAGAGGGGGGUAGAAUUCCGCGUGUAGCAGUGAAAUGCGUAGAUAUGUGGAGGAACACCGAUGGCGAAGGCAGCCCCCUGGGUCAAAACUGACGCUCAUGCACGAAAGCGUGGGGAGCAAACAGGAUUAGAUACCCUGGUAGUCCACGCCCUAAACGAUGUCUACUAGUUGUCGGGUCUUAAUUGACUUGGUAACGCAGCUAACGCGUGAAGUAGACCGCCUGGGGAUACGGUCGCAAGNUUAAACCGUUAAAGGAAUUGACGG